rnacentral:tRNA from 1 species
GGGGUUGUGGCUCACUGGUAGAGCACUCACCUUGCAUGUGGGAGGCCCUGGGUUCCAUCCUCAGCACCA